rnacentral:rRNA from 1 species
GACGAAGGGGGGCUAGCGUUGUUCGGAAUUACUGGGCGUAAAGCGCGUGUAGGCGGUUGCCCCAAGUCGGGGUGUGAAAGCCUUGAGCUCAACUCAAGAAAUGCACUCGGUACUGGGUGACUAGAGGACCGGGAGAGGAUAGUGGAAUUCCCAGUGUAGUGGUGAAAUACGUAGAGAUUGGGAAGAACACCAGUGGCGAAGGCGGCUAUCUGGACGGGUUUCUGACG